GACGGCGCGGCGCAUCGGGAGGACAUCGGGGCUGGGGACGGGUCCGUCGGGCACCGGGCGGGGCGGGGGCUCGCACGGCUGCUCCUCCUCCCGUGGCCGCCAGAGGGCGCCGCUCCCGCGCGGUGGCGGCUCCGCGUCCCUCGGCACGGCCGAGCCGCGGCACCGUGAGGGUGCCAGACAUGUGCCGGAGCAGAAGCUUGAAGGUGCACCAUUACCCACCCCUGGCCUGGGGAAGCUGUAGGAAAGCCCUGCUGUGUUCUGGUGACACAAUCCUGAGGCCUAACUCACGCAGUCCUCACCAGGCCCUGCUAGGAGCGGAAACUCGCUCCCCCUGUGCUUCAUGCCCUGCCCAGCCUGCUGCUUCAUCUCCAGCUGCAGAGGAAGGUGUAUUUUGUCUACGAUCUGCUGUCUUGGGACUUGGUGAUUUUAGGAAGUUUCUUUCCAGUUCCAAGUUAGAACAACGAUUCUGAUGAGUUAACGUAUAGAAAGUGGUAUCCCCUUCCUGCCUGAUGCUUUCUUGGUCAAGCCCAGGCUGCAUUCACUGCUGCUCAGGUGGUACCUGGGUCUUGCUGGUUUUGCAGAUCUUCCCUGGGGUGACAGUGCUACCACUGGCCACGCUGGAAUGGACGAGUAGGGUUGAAGAAAUGUAAUUACUUUGUGAGUAACAUGUUGAGGUUUUGGUUUCUUUUCCUGAAUACCAAUUGGAUUAAAUGGGGGAGGGAAGAAGAGACGUUUAUUUGUUUGUUUGUUUUCUAAUGAGUUUAAUGGUGCUGAAAAGAAUAUAAAAAGUAAAUCAUUAGACCUAGAAAAUGGGUCAUACCUUUAU